CACCAACAGCAACUGCCAACCAGAGAGAACAGAUAACAGCAGAGACAAACUCUCAAUCUGCUUCAACCUGAAGCUUGAAUUUUAGUGGAAGAGAGAUGUUAGCUGUAGGAAGUAUUAACUGAAGGCACAUUAGAGGUUCUCUAGUGAGUGAUCAGUAAUUCAACAGCUUAUAAGCAGUGGAAGUCCUUGCCUCCGAAAAGCUCUCCGUAGCUACCCGCUUCAGUGCCAAAAUUGAGGAAUGGACACACUAGAUUGGAUGUACACACCAUCCAGGCCAGUAUCUUGUUCUGGACAGAGAUCAGAGGGAGGUGCAAAAGCCUGCAGUCAGAUGCAAGGGCGUUGCUCUCUCUAGCUCAAAGAUAAUAAAGCUGUUCACCUUGAGCAGCCUCCUGGAGAUUCAUCUGGUGAUACCAGAAAUAAGGAAUCAGCCAUUCACAAUUUGUCUGUCCAUUGAAAUGAGUGAUCCUGAAAAAUGGCAGAAGAUAUCACACCUGAUCCUUGCUUGAAGCCUCACUGUAGGACAGUUGCCAUUACUUGAGUUAAAACACUGGACUGGGCAGAAAUAGCUAUGGACACAACCAGCCCAGGAUCCCUGAGAAUUCACACCUGGACAUUCCUAGGGAAAUGCACUGAAAGUUCCUAUCUGCUGAUAGAGAUAAUGUGUUUACAAUCGUGUAAUCUCACCUCUUCUGUUUGGGGCUGUUUUGUGAGAAUUGCACUCACUCCAUCUGUCCUUAGUCUUAGACCCAAGUUUCUCUCUGGAUUUACGGGGAGAAUUUAUGAAGAUCUCAGCAAGAACAUCAGCAGCACAGUCAGACAGUCUGAGGAAAGUCAGACAUAGCCACAGGACACAGGGAGUCAUCUACCACUUACACCGGUGUGCGGAGUUCUGAGUCAGCUUUGUGUGGAGUCAGACACCUUAAAUGAUUCAUGGAAACAGAGAUGCUUGAAUAUGGAGCUCCUUGAAAUUCCCUUUUUCUUAGUGUAGACACUCAAGACUAGUCAGUAGAAAAAUACUGAGAGCAGGGAUCUCUUACAUCUUGUAGCUGCCUUGUUAUUCUGAGUUUCAUACAUCUGGAACCAGAAACAGAUUUGUGUCCACCAUUGUUAUUGCAAAGUAUUGACUAAGGACUACUCUAUUAACCACAAAUUGAGGAGAAAGUAAUAUAAGGCACAUGCAGCCACUCUGUAUUUAAAGACUCUGUAUGAGUAACUGAAGAGCCAGAGUUUAGGACUCCUGUACUAAUGGCAUGCUACACAAGAAAACAAUAGAGAAAACUUGUCACCUGGAACAUUAAUAUUGUGCAUGAUCGUAUUUAAAGUCAGUAAACUAAUAUAUAUAUAUAUACACACAAAUAUGAAAUUUAUUGUGGAAUUAAAGUAUAUAAGGUUAUGGUUCAUGUUUUCCUCAUCUGUACGCUAUCUAUGAUGCCUUCUACUGGAUGGUCAUACAUUUGACUAAAUAUAUAUUCUGUACCUUACUGAAUAAAUCAAAGCUCUUAUAUAUUUUAGCUUUCAUAGUACUACUGCUUAUGAGAUACUCUGCCAUUGCAUUCAGAUUAGCUUGGAUGUUCAUCACAGAUGAACACCUUUAGUAUGUACAGAAAACUUCAAGAGACUACAUACUAUUUGACUCAGAGGGGAGCAUCACAAUACAUCUACUUAUUCCAUUCAUCUCCUUUGCUUCUAACAGAAAUUUAUAUUCAAGUUUAAAUAACCUCUUGUAUAUAAGUUUUAGUUUUUGAGCUUGUACUAUUCUUUCCCUGUGCAAACUUCUUAAUAGUCACCUCUGUCAUAGCAGAAGAAUGAAAAUAAAUCAGUACAUUUCAAUAAUUAAUUAAUUACAAGGCAGAAGUGGAGACUGCUUACAUUUCAUUGACUUUAUAAUAAUAGUUGCAAAUAAGAAUUGCAAAUGUAUGUGUGAUUACCUCCCUCCUUCUUGUUUGUUAUUCCAUGGAGGGCUCAAGGAUGCCCUUAUCUGUUUCAUCAGUCACGGUUGUCAGUGACAGGAUGUGGCGAGGAUGGGAGAAAACAAAAGAGAAAAGAAACAGGUUAGCACUGUCCCAUGAAAAGAUGCACAUAAUUACAGAGAAAGUGUGGGCUGCUUUUCAAAGUUAUUAAUUCUGGCUUCGUUUUCCCUAUGAGGAAGUAGCAAUUUAUACAGUAUAUUUAUGGCUUAGGAAGAAGAGAAAUUGUCACUCAUCAUAAGAGGAAAGAAGAUCUAUGAUUUAGAUGGCUGAAUUAGAUAGUUUAGAUGGCCCCAGGGCUUAACACUGGGGCCAGUAUUAUUCUGCAUCUUCAUUAAUGACCUGGGUGAAAGAACAGAGUGCACAUUCAGCAAGUUCACAGGUGAUGCAAAACUGGGUAGACUGGCUGAUGUGCCAGUUCAUUGUGCUGCUAUUCAGAGGUAACUUGACAAGCUGGAGAAUGGGGUAGAGAGGAAUCUCAUCAAGUUGAACAAGGGUAAAGGCAAAGUCCUGCAUUUGGGAGGAUGAACCCCAGGCACGAAUACAUGCUGGCUAUCAGUUAACUGGUGAAUGGCUUUGCUGAGAAGGUCCAUGGAAUGGAAUUUGACCUGGAGACAGACAACAAAAUGACCAUGAGCCAGCAAUGCACCCUUGUGGCAUGAAAAGUCCAGCAGUAUCCUGGGCUGUGUUAAACACAAUAUGGCCUGCAGAUGAAGGCAGAUGAUCCUUGCCCUCUGCUCAGGACUGGUGAGGCCAAAUCUGGAGUACUGUGUACAGUUCUGGGCUCCUCAGAGCAAGAAUGAUAUGCAUUUACUGGAGCAAGUUCAGUGCAGGGCAACAAAGAUGGUUAAGGGUCUGGACCAUCUCUCAUAUGUGAGAAGCUGAGACACCUGGGACUAUUCUGCCUGGAGAAGGCUCAGGGGGGAGCUCAUCAAUGUGUACAUACACCUGCUGGCAUUGAAUCAAGAAGAGGAAGCAACAGUCUUCCCAUUAGUACCCACUGACAGGACAUGGGGCAACAGGAACAAAUUAAAAUCUUGAAAUUCUAUCUGAAAACAAGAAAACUGUUUUUUUACUGUGGGGGGUGGUCAAGCACUGGAACAGCUUGUUCAGAGAGGUUAUGAAGUCUACAUCCUUGGCAGUACUGAAAACUCAACCAGACCACCAUCCUGGGCAACACAAUCUAGCUGAUCAUGCUUAAGGAAGGAUGUUAUACUACAUGAGCUUAAGAAGUCUAUCCCAAUUUCAACAAUUCUGUGAUUCUGUGAAUGGAUCCUAUUAUCAAUUGAAGUCUUCAUGCAAUGGUAUGAGUCUAAAAAUGUAAGCAAGUGUUCUCUUUUGAGUUGUCAACCAAUUUGUUGGUCAUUUGACUUCUUUAACAUCUAAAGUGAUAAUGGUUCUUGUCAAGUCCUAUCCUCAAGUUUUGUCUGUCCUAGUAGUGCCUGGAAGAUAUUAAGGAUCACUAAUAUGAAAACAAAUUUUGAGGUCAGAAAAGAUUCUUUCAUAUGGAAAAUAUGAUCUAUGGAUAACAUUUGGCAAACACUGAUUUUUUUAAUAGCUUUUCUCAUAUCUGUAUUUGAAUGGAUUUGAGCAGGGUGUAAUUUGUAGAUGAGAAAAAAAGCUAGUGCAGUACUUAGACUUUAAGACUUUAAGAGGUUUUGGACAUAAUCUGAAAGGCCAUAUAUUGUUCAUUCUAACUACUAGCAAGUUCUUUCAGUUGAAAACCUAUGGGAAAGAUCUCUUGUAAAAAUCUGUACCUGUUAAGACUGGGAAAAUACCCUAGAGGAAGAAUAUAACUAGAAACAACACAACUGGAUUUACAGAGUGGUUAAAAUGCCGUUUUUAGGGUAUGGACUGUCCUGUUGGUUCAAUAGUUACUAAAUUAAGACACUGGCUUUAAUAGUUGGUCUUGUGACUGGUGUAAACCUCCUAACAGCACACUAAGACUAAUGGGUGGUCUUGCUCUACCCAGUAUCUUUUGUUUUUGCUGUAUCACUUCUUUUGAUUGUAAGACCUUCCGUGUAUUGGAUCAGUUUAGUGAUCUGACUGCAGUGAUCAGAGGGACUAUUAUUAGAAUAUCGCCAAGGGCAGAAGAGGGAAGGUAGAACUACUCCUUCUGGUGGGAAUGUGGUAUUUGAUCAGUUUAAACUGAUAAUGAAACCACACCCUUGCUGCCAACUGCAAAGCGAUUGUCAGCACCCGUUUACUGGAUCACUGCAACGUACAGUUAGGUAAGAGACAGAGAUACUGAUUCAUGGCCAUCGCUGGGGUAUUUCCUGAACAGGCAGUGACUGUAGCUACACCUUUGACUGUUCAGGAGGCUGACCUGAGAAAAAUUGUCUGAAGAGCUUACAAGUGAACUUGGCCUUCUGUAUGAACCUCCCAGGGCUGCUUCUCUGUGGGUAGUUUUUAACUGAACCACUACCCUUCCUUAAG
ensembl:lncRNA